rnacentral:lncRNA from 1 species
AAAUAACAUAUCCAAUUCAACUUAAUAUAUAUAUUGAUGCUCAAAUCCAGAUACAAAGUUUCUACAUACCAAAAAAACUUCAAAGUUUUUACAGUUUGAGUACAAUCAACCUUAGUCUGGUACUAGCGUGAGUACAAAAGCAAAACUCAAAACAACUAGACUACGCUAGUCUGUACAUGUCUCAUGCCUCGCUCGUACCCCCUGUAAGGAAAACAAAUGGCGUGGAAUGAGUUAAAAGCCUAGUGAGAUUCCAAAUAACAAAUUAACCAUUUUAAAAGUACGAAUAUCAACGUAGCAAGUUAAUGGCAUCAAAAGUUCAUAAGAGUGAACAAUAUUACUUCAAGUAGGAAAUUUCAAAGUGAGCGACUGUAAAAGUUUUCAGAAGAAAUGAUAAUUCAAUAAAUAGUAAUCACUCCAAAGUAUAAGGAUACGGAUGGCUCUCAAGAGCCAAAUUCCCAUCGCAUCAUCAGGGCUGGAUCAGGUAAUAGUUGACACUCCGUCAACCUUCAAGUAAGUAACCAAUCUAGUAGAGCACCACUUAACGCCAAUAUCCGUUCACCGAUCAACCCCCUUACCGGGCCCGAACGCCAAACAUGAAUGAAAGUGGUAAUACUCGAGUAUACCGUUUUGCCGAGGAGAUACACUCCACUCGACAUUACUAGUUACCCAGGGUUUGUUAUCUAAUCGACCAGGCCCUUACCGGCUCGACUCGAUUAACUAGCCACAGGAUUUCUGGAAUUCCAGACAAGGUGAAAUUUGUAUGCAAGUAUAGUAUUUCAAGUGAAAUCAUGGAACAAUAGCAAAUUUGAUUAGGGAAAGUGCGAUAAAAUACACUCUUGCCCUAAUAUUUCACGUAUAUAACAUGUAAUCACAUUGGUCACGUAUCAAAUACAAGUAUUAAGUGCAAUUCGAUAUUUGAAAGCACUCACCAAAAGAUAUAGUGCCGUUACUGGUCACUUUCAGGUUGUACUUCGGGUUCGGAGUCCAAAUCUGCGAUAAAACUCAGUUUGAGAAUUUUGAAAUAUGACUAACAUUCGAAACUUAGACGUUUCGCUCAAUAAGAAUCAAGAAAUUGAAAUUCACUUGAAGAAUAGUCACAAAAUGGUUGCUCGCUUUUCAAACUGAAAAUUUUUGUAACAUGUAUACUUGGAAAUAACUAUUGAGUCGAAAGUGCAAGGAAAAUGGGUUUAUAGUGGUUAUUACCGGUUUUCCUAAGGGUACAAGUUCGGCUAGAUUCUAACGUAUAACCAUCGAUAACCAAAGUUACAAAAGUCCUAGAGGGUUCAAGUGAUAUUCAUUCUUAACCCUUACUCAAGUUGCAAGUGUACUCCUCUAGUCCUCGAGCGUAAAUUUGGGCAGCAUGCCCUUUGUAUUUUUCCUAUUUUCCAGACAUUUAUGGCUUCAUUAUUUUUCUCAUUCAACCCCAAAUUCAUACAUAUCAUAGAUUCAAGUAAAUAGCCGUUCCAUAGGCUCAUAACAACAUAAGACCAAAAAUCAAAGUGAUAACAAGUGCGAAAAUGUAACCUAGCAAAAGACAGGUUUGACGUGUUUUUGCGGAAAUGACACAACCGAUACUACGCUUAUGGGAUUGGUGUACAACUUAUACCGUUUCGAACCUAAGACAAAGUCCUACAACUUUCAUGAAGGUCACUUAGUCAAAUUUCCGAUGUAACCUGGUCAAAUUUCCAAAUUACAGAGCCAACUUCCAACUAUACGGCUAAUUAUCCGCACUGCACUAGAAUGGUCAUAUCUCAGGCUACCAAGGUCCGUUUAAGGCGUUCUUGGAUGCUUUGAAAAUCUAAGACAGAGUACGAAAACUUUCAUGUUUUGGCAAAUGGCUAAAUCAGCAUGCAACCUUGUGAAUAAACAUGAUAAACUGGAUGAACUGACUAAAACGGAACACUGGAAACAUCCUAAAAUAGUGAGGGUAUUUUGGUCCUUUCACAGGCUACGUUGCUCCGAUUGAGCUGAAAUGUUGUAGGAACCUAUAAACCAUCAUUCUCUACAACUUUCAUAUUUUAACCUAAGGCUAAUUCGGCCUCUAACUAUGAGUAACAGUGACGGGCAGAACUGAAUUUUCAAGUUCCUGAAAUCUGGAAAUUCUUGAAAUCAAAUGCUAAUUUCUUUAUUUUUGGCUUGCUUCACCAUCUUAACUUCCCAUAUUAAACUUUAAAUAUCAAAGCCCCAAAUUUUAAGCACUAGAAGAAUCAUAGGAAAGCUGUAAAAAUUCCAAUAAAAUGGAAAAUCAUGAUCCAAGCCUCUAUUUCACCACAUACAUCAAUAAUUCAACCAUAUGUGACAUAUUUAGCAACAAAUCACGAAUUUAAUCGGAGAAUCAAGGUUCUAGCAUGUAUACCUUUCCAAGGCAACUAGAAACAGGGUUCAAGGUCUUUGUUCCUCAAGAAAAUUACACCGGUAGGUAGCACUUGAGCUAGAUAACAACUUAAUCGGUUUAGAAUUUUUGUUUCCUCACUUGGAUGAUGCAAAUCAAGAUGAAAUGAUGAAACUCUUGCUCUCUCUUUCUCUCUCUCUUGAACUCGACCAAAACAGAAGGAAAUGAAGGAAAAUGUGCUGAAAUGGAAUAUAAGAAGACAAGACAAAAGGUUUGGCAAGAAACCAUAGGUGAGUGACACUUGUCACAACCAAAGCCAUCCAAAUUUCUCUUUCUUUUCCUUGCAUUUUGGGCCAAAUAUUUCAGUCACAUGGCUGAGGAUGAGGGGGGGACAUUUUGCAAAAAUAUCAAGGAUAUAUGGUAGUAAGAAAGUGGUGGUCAAGUGGUGGGUUCAAUCGGUAGUGAUCGAUACCCGUCGGUGUGACGCGUUUUCUCUUAAAUCGCGUAUACUAGGGUUUUUAGCUUAUAAUCACUAACUUACUAUUAUCACUUCUAGUCAUAUGAUAUUUCCUCAUCCAAAUGUCACUUUUUCCUACCAAAUUUGAUUCUCACUCCGUAUCGAAUAAUCAUACUAUUGAAAAAACGCGAAAACCUUAAUUUGCUCUUAAUUUGAAAACGAAAAGUGAAACCCUACCUCCUAGGUUCAUUUGCACGUAUCGUGGGGUGAUUGAGUAGUAAGGCUAUUCUAAAUUAGUAAUUUCCAAAUACAAGGGUAUUUUUAAGAAAAACAUGAGUGGUUUUACAAUUCCAUAAAUUGAAUUUAGGGUUUCAGUUGAAAUAUGAAAAAUUUGAGGAAACGGCCAGUCACAAGUGAAACUAGGGUUUUUAUUAGACUUUUAGGGUUUCUAGUCUGUUAAAACAAACAAGAUUUUAAAUCCAACCCAAAGAAAUAACUUUAGUAUCUUCUUUUGAAACAAAAUAAUGUUUUAAAAUAAAAAUCAACUAAAAAAACCGUAAUAUCCUCUUUGAGACUAAACAAAAGAUAAUCCUAAAAGUUGGGGUAUUACAAUCUGCCCUCCUUCAAAGAAUUUCGUCCUCGAAAUUGCAAUCAACGAGCUAAAGGUUAGAAUCUUCGAAUACCUUAGUAACGAGUUCAUCAGUAGUGGUAAGGAUUACCUCAAGAAUUAGUCAUUCUAUGUAUCGCAAUCCAAGAUCCAACCGUAUAAUUCUUAGUUCAUAGUCUCAGUGGUCGUUAAAUAUCUUGUAAACCGGGUAGAAGAAAAUCUCAAUACGAUGGAAAAUAGGGAAGGUACCUUCGGUGAUUGCCAAUGGGUCUGUCACCUCUUGGCUUCCCAUUACAUAGGUCCUUGCCGGCACUUUCGGUUGAUUACCUAUUGCAUUGGUCGGCUUAGACGUGUUCCCUUCUACCCUUGUCGAAUUUCCUUCUUUUAGCAGGUGAGGGCACUGAGCAAUCAGAUGCUCAGCACUACCACAUCGGUAGCAUUUCCGUACUUGUCCUUUCUUCCAACAAUUAUCUCCUACUAUCUCCGAUGGUUCAAAUAAUGCCCGUUGGUCCAAGGCGUACACUCUAGCGGGCACUCUUGGCUUAGUCCCUCCUAUAUUUGCUUGUUCAGGGUUUAGGUGUGAUCUACGGGGGCAAGUUGCAAGCUGGUGUUCAAUACCACCACACCAUAAACAUUUUCCUGCCUUUCGCCAACAAUCAUUCUCCGUAUGAUUGGCCUUCCCGUAGUGUCCACAAGCCAAUCGAGGGGCUACUGCUUGACCUUCUCGAGAAAUGUCCCUUGAUCCUAUCUGACUUCCUUUCGUAGACCUUUCAUCUAAUGUUCUUAAUGUCCAAGGUGGGCAAGGUAAAUGGUUCACUUUUUGUACUUUAGAGAGCAUUAUAUUUUCUCCGGAUUCCUCAAGUAUGCUGCUGGAUGUAUCUCUUUGUGACACAACUUUUAGUUGUCCUCCUCCACCUAAGGUUCCUCGCGAAGUACCUUCUUUGGGUGUCCCCAAAAUUUUCACACCACUCGCUCCUCGACCUACCUUAAAGGGUGGCCUAUCUCGUUCACCUUGUUCUUGACUUUAAUUUUCACUAGGUGCACCCCUUUUCUUUGCAUGGAAGCCCUUUGCUUGUGCCCUUGCAAUUUCUAUCUUUUGGGCUUUUUCUGGAUUCUUCGUAAAAGUUUUACCUUGUGCCAUUGCUAAAAUCUCUUCAGGAAUCCCUUCGUAUUGCCUUUUUAGUACUAUGUUCUCGUGCAAUAGCUCAAGUUUCUCCGAAUAUUCGUGUUUCCAUCGCCCUUCCCAAUACUCGGCUAGUCUCUUUUGGACCUCUAUUUCAUUUCGAAGAAUCUCGAUUUCCUUAUAUAUAUCAUCCAAUUGUGCCAUCUCACAGAUUCACUGGGACGUAAAUGAUAGCCUGGCAGACAGAUCAAUGGGUCAGAGUAAGUAACUAAGCACAAGCGGCAAUCUAACCAUAUAACUGUUAAGUUCCUUAACUCCCAGUCUAACCACGGUAGAUCAAAUGAAACGGACGGAAAAGUAGAACAUAAUUAGGGCAAUAUCUUAAAAUGACAUCAAUGGAGCAUAACCAAGGGAAGAAGAAAGAAAUCGGUCUUCGGUGAGACUUUCUCGACAUAUACUACAACUUAAUCAUCCCCUAUAGGAACCCUAGCCAGAUUAUAACUCGAUUCGUCCAUAUUCGUCCAUGAUAACACUACUGGGUGUUCAGGUAUAAGAAUCCACAAUAAGGUAAUUCACAACUCGAGCCGGCCGGUCCCAAGAGUAAAUCACCCGUAUUAGAGAUUCCUACCCAACAUACAUAUCUAAGGUCCCCAACAAUAGACAAUUGUUCCACACUUAACAAGUCAAUCCCCACAGUCCAAGAACCUUCUCCCGGCACGAGCUCGAUAGGAGCUCUGAUACCAUUUGUGACGGCCCCACCUUCCCCUAAGGCGAACCAAAGGGUUCGGCGGACCGCCUGCCCAACUCUCGCCAGGACUCGCUCACGCAUUCAUUCAUAGCUCAAGUAAAAUAACGUUCAUCCAUAGAAAAUAAAUAACAUAUCCAUUUCAACUUAAUAUAUACAUUGAUGCUCAAAUCCAGAUAUAAAGUUUCUACAUACCAAAAAAAUUUCAAAGUUUUUACAGUUCGAGUACAAUCAACCUUAGUCGGGUACUAGCGUGAGUACAAAAGCAAAACUCAAAACAACUAGACUACGCUAGUCUGUACAUGUCUCAUGCCUCGCUCGUACCCCCUGUAAGGAAAACAAAUGGCGUGGAAUGAGCUAAAAGCCCAGUGAGAUUUCAAAUAACAAAUUAACCAUUUUAAAAGUACGAAUAUCAACGUAGCAAGUUAAUGGCAUCAAAAGUUCAUAACAGUGAACAAUAAUACUUCAAGUAGCAAAUUUCAAAAUGAGCGAGUGUAAAAGUUUUCAGAAGAAAUGAUAAUUCAAUAAAUAGUAAUCACUCCAAAGUAUAAGGAUACAGAUGGCUCUCAAGAGCCAAAUUCCCAUCGCAUCAUCAGGGCUGGAUCAGGUAAUAGUUGACACUCCGUCAACCUUCAAGUAAGUAACCAAUCUAGUAGAGCACCACUUAACGCCAAUCUCCGUUCACCGAUCAACCCCCUUACCGGGACCGAACGCCAAACAUGAAUGAAAGUGGUAAUACUCGAGUAUACCGUUUUGCCGAGGAGAUGCACUCCACUCGACAUUACUAGUUACCCAGGGUUUGUUAUCUAAUCGACCAGACCCUUGCCGGCUCGACUCGAUUAACUAGCCACAGGGUUUCUGGAAUUCCAGACAAGGUGAAAUUUGUAUGCAAGUAUAGUAUUUCAAGUGAAAUCAUGAAACAAUAGCAAAUUUGAUUAGGGCAAGUGCGAUAAAGUACACUCUUGCCCUAAUAUUUCACGUAUAUAACAUGUAAUCACAUUGGUCACGUAUCAAAUACAAGUAUUAAGUGCAAUUCGAUAUUUGAAAGCACUCACCAAAAGAUAUAGUGUCAUUACUGGUCACUUUCAGGUUGUACUCCGGGUUCGGAGUCCAAAUCUGUGAUAAAACUCAGUUUGAGAAUUUUGAAAUAUGACUAAGAUUCGAAACUUAGACGUUUCGUUCAAUAAGAAUCAAGAAAUUGAAAUUCACUUGAAGAAUAGUCACAAAAUGGUUGCUGGCUUUUCAAACUGAAAAUUUUUGUAACAUGUAUACUUUUUUUUUUGUCAAAUUGUAACAUGUAUACUUGGAAAUAACUAUUGAGUCGAAAGUGCAAGGAAAAUGGGUUUAUAGUGGUUAUUACCGCUUUUCCUAAGGGUACAAGUUCGGCUAGAUUCUAACGUAUAACCAUCGAUAACCAAAGUUACAAAAGUCCUAGAGGGUUCAAGUGAUAUUCAUUCUUAACCUUACUCAAGUUCCAAGUGUACUCCUCUAGUCCUCGAGCGUAAAUUUGGGCAGCAUGCCCUUGGUAUUUUUCCUAUUUUUCAGCUAUUUAUGGCUUCAUUAUUUUUCUCAUUCAACCCCAAAGUCAUACAUAUCAUAGAUUCAAGUAAGUAGCCGUUCCAUAGGCUCAUAACAACAUAAGACUAAAAAUCAAAGUGAUAACAAGUGCGAAAAUGUAACCUAGCAAAAGACAGGUUUGACGUGUUUUUGCGGAAAUGACACAACCGAUACUACGCUUAUGGGAUUGGUGUAAAACUUAUACCGUUUCGAACCUAAGACAAAGUCCUACAACUUUCAUGAAGGUCACUUAGUCAAAUUUCCCGUGUAACCUGGUCAAAUUCCCAAAUUACAGAGCCAACUUCCAACUAUACGGCUAAUUAUCCGCACUGCACUAGAAUGGUCAUAUCUCAGGCUACCAAGGUCCGUUUAAGGCGUUCUUGGAUGCUUUGAAAAUCUAAGGCAGAGUGAGAAAACUUUCAUGUUUUGGCAAAUGGUUAAAUCAGCAUGCAACCUUGUGAAUAAACAUGAUAAACUGGAUGAACUGACUAAAACGGAACACUGGAAACAUCCUAAAAUAGUGAGGGUAUUUUGGCCCUUUCACAGGCUACGUUGCUCCGAUUGAGCUGAAAUGUUGUACGGACCUAUAAACCAUCAUUCUAUACAACUUUCAUGUUUUAACCUAAGGCUAAUUCGGCCUCUAACUAUGAGUAAUAGUGCCGGGCAGAACUCAAUUUUCAAGUUCCUGAAAUCUGGAAAUUCUUGAAAUCAAAUGCUAAUUUCUUUAUUUUUGGCUUGCUUCACCAUCUUAACUUCCCAUAUUAAACUUUAAACAUCAAAGCCCCAAAUUUUAAGCACUAGAAGAAUCAUAGGAAAGCUGUAAAAAUUCCAAUAAAAUGGAAAAUCAUGAUCCAAGCCUCUAUUUCACCGCAUACAUCAAUAAUUCAACCAUAUGUGACAUAUUUAGCAACAAAUCACGAAUUUAAUCGGAGAAUCAAGGUUCUAGCAUGUAUACCUUUCCAAGGCAACUAAAAACAAGGGUUCAAGGUCUUUGUUCCUCAAGAAAAUUACACCGGUAGGUAGCACUUGAGCUAGAUAACAACUUAAUCGGUUUAGAAUUUUUGUUUCCUCACUUGGAUGAUGCAAAUCAAGAUGAAAUGAUGAAACUCUUGCUCUCUCUCUUUCUCUCUCUCUUGAGCUCGACCAAAACAGAAGGAAAUGAAGGAAAAUGAGCUGAAAUGGAAUAUAAGAAGACAAGACAAAAGGUUUGGCAAGAAACCAUAGUUGAGU